UACGGGGGGAGCAAGCGUUGUUCGGAUUUACUGGGCGUAAAGGGCGCGUAGGCGGCCAGCACAAGUCAGUUGUGGAAAUCUCCGAGCUUAACUCGGAAAGGUCAACUGAUACUGUGCGGCUAGAGUGCGGAAGGGGCAACUGGAAUUCUUGGUGUAGCGGUGAAAUGCGUAGAUAUCAAGAGGAACACCUGCGGCGAAGGCGGGUUGCUGGGCCGACACUGACGCUCAUGUGCGAAAGCGUGGGGAGCAAACAGG
rnacentral:rRNA from 1 species